GUGGGAACCCCAGUGCUCCAUUCUCUUCUAUCUGUGCUUUCUCUUUAUUAGUAGGCAAUGUGUUGAAGCAUCAUUUUGAAGGCGUUUAAAAGGAAAGGAAGAGAACAAUGAGACAGAGAGGAAGACAGGAAGAAAAUGGGAGAAUUAGAAGCACGCUCUAAAUACCAGAUACUACUAGGCCUCUUCUUUUCUCCAGGAUAUGUGCAAGAUGAGAGCCAGCCAUCGUCUCCUGAUGGUGGAGAUUUGAUCUGAAGCAUUCAAAUAGGAAAUGAAUGCUCAGAGGAAGCUUCAAAUUUCUUUCUACUUGAAGAAGCUGAAUUGCAGAAGCUAUCUCUGUCCUGUUAAUCACCAGGUCCACAGUGAAACCAGCCAACUUCAGAGAAGACUCUUGUGCUGCGUGACCCCUGACCGUAACCAAGUGUCCUUCUCUCUGAGACGUUCCCUCGGAGCUUGUUCUGACAGCCCUCACCUCCAGUGACGUCCACGAACUUUUCCACACGAGGGGUUCUCUGCUUCCCUCCAUCUGAGCUGCGCAAUUCCACCAGGCCUUUUGCUCCUCUUCAGUCAGGUGCUUUGGAGGUAAUGAAGUCUUUCGGGAAAAAUAAACAAAGGAA
rnacentral:lncRNA from 1 species